AUGGACACCGCCGCCCCCGGCUCCCCGCGUGAGGGGCACAGGACGGUGUGCUCCGAGCCGCCCAAGAGGCUGGCAGGGCGGACCAAGUUCAAGGAGACGCGCCACCCGCUGUACCGCGGCGUGCGGCGGCGGGGCCGGCUCGGGCAGUGGGUGUGCGAGGUGCGCGUGCGCGGCGCGCAAGGGUACAGGCUCUGGCUCGGCACCUUCACCACUACCGAGAUGGCGGCGCGCGCGCACGACUCCGCCGUCCUCGCGCUCCUCGACCGCGCCGCUUGCCUCAACUUCGCCGACUCCGCCUGGCGGAUGCUGCCCGUCCUCGCGGCUGGCUCGUCCCGCUUCAGCAGCGCGCGGGAGAUCAAGGACGCCGUCGCCGUCGUGGAGUUCCAGCGGCAGCGGCCCGUCCUGUCCACGCCGGAGACGCACGACGGCGAAAAGGACGUCCAAGGCUCACCGACGCCGCGCGAGCUGUCCACGUCCAGCGACUUGUUGGACGAGCACUGGUUUGGCGGCAUGAACGCCGGCUCGUACUAUGCGAGCUUGGCGCAGGGGAUGCUCAUGGAGCCGCCGGCCGCCAGAGCGCGGAGCGAGGAUGGCGGCGAAUACAGCGGCGUCCAGACGCCGCUUUGGAACACUUAUCCGACUAAUUAA
rnacentral:rRNA from 1 species